rnacentral:rRNA from 1 species
UAACAAUGAUUUCCCUAGUAACGGCGAGUGAAGAGGAAAGAGCUCAAAGUUGGAACCUAUUUGGCUUAGCUAAAUCGGAUUGUAAACUGUAGAAGUGUUUUCCAGACACGCCUGGUAAAAAAGUCCUUUGGAACAGGGCAUCAUAGAGGGUGAGAAUCCCGUCAUUGGCCAGAGCUGUUGUCUUUUGUGAUACAUUUUCAAAGAGUCAGGUUGUUUGGGAAUGCAGCCUAAAUUGGGUGGUAAAUCUCACCUAAAGCUAAAUAUUUGCGAGAGACCGAUAGCGAACAAGUACCGUGAGGGAAAGAUGAAAAGAACUUUGAAAAGAGAGUUAAACAGUAUGUGAAAUUGUUAAAAGGGAACCGUUUGGAGCCAGACUGGCUUAAUCGUAAUCAAUCUAGGCUUUGGCCUGGAUGCACUUGCGGUUUAUGCCGGCCAACGACAGUUUUGUUUGGGAGAAAAAAUUACAUUGAAUGUGGCCCCUCGGGGUGUUAUAGCUUUGUAAAAAAUAUCCUGGACUGGACUGAGGAACGCAGUGAAUGCCUUUAGGCAAGAUUGCUGGGUGCUUUCACUAAUAAAUGCUAGAAUUUCUGCUUCGGGUGGUGCUAGUGUUUAAAGGAGGAACUCGCCUGGUAUAUUUUUUAUUCGCUUAGGUUGUUGGCUUAAUGACUUUAAAUGACCCGUCUUGAAACACGGACCAA